rnacentral:rRNA from 1 species
UACGUAGGUGACCAGCGUUGUCCGGAUUUACUGGGCGUAAAGAGCGCGCAGGCGGUCGUUCAAGUCGAGUGUGAAAGCCCCCGGCUCAACUGGGGAGGGUCAUUCGAUACUGAUCGACUCGAAGGCAGGAGAGGGAAGCGGAAUUCCCGGUGUAGUGGUGAAAUGCGUAGAUAUCGGGAGGAACACCAGUGGCGAAGGCGGCUUCCUGGCCUGUUCUUGACGCUGAGGCGCGAAAAGCUAGGGGAGCAAACGGG